GGAGUUUGGGCCGUGUCUCAGUCCCAAUGUGGCCGAUUGCCCUCUCAGGCCGGCUAUUGAUCGUUGACUUGGUGAGCCGUUACCUCACCAACUAUCUAAUCAAACGCGGGUCCAUCGUAUGCCGAUAAAUCUUUUCACACUGUAUCAUGCAAUACCGUGCGCUUAUGCGGUAUUAGCAGUCGUUUCCAACUGUUGUCCCCCUGCAUACGGCAGGUUACCCACGCGUUACUCACCCGUCCGCCACUAAGUAUUAACAAGCUUCGACCGAAAUCUCUGCAGCGUUAAUACUCCGUUCGACUUGCAUGUGUUAAGCACGCCGCCAGCGUUCAUC
rnacentral:rRNA from 1 species